UACGGGGGGGAGCAAGCGUUGUUCGGAUUUACUGGGCGUAAAGGGCGCGUAGGCGGCCACCGCAAGUCGACUGUGAAAUCUCCGGGCUUAACCCGGAAAGGUCAGCCGAUACUGCGGGGCUAGAGUGCAGAAGGGGCAACUGGAAUUCUCGGUGUAGCGGUGAAAUGCGUAGAUAUCGAGAGGAACACCUGCGGCGAAGGCGGGUUGCUGGGCUGACACUGACGCUGAUGCGCGAAAGCUAGGGGGAGCGAACGGG
rnacentral:rRNA from 1 species